UACGUAGGGUGCAAGCGUUGUCCGGAAUUAUUGGGCGUAAAGAGCUUGUAGGCGGUUUGUCGCGUCUGCUGUGAAAUUUCGGGGCUCAACCCCGAACUUGCAGUGGGUACGGGCAGACUAGAGUGUGGUAGGGGAGACUGGAAUUCCUGGUGUAGCGGUGAAAUGCGCAGAUAUCAGGAGGAACACCGAUGGCGAAGGCAGGUCUCUGGGCCGAUACUGACGCUGAGGCGCGAAGGCUAGGGGAGCGAACGGG
rnacentral:rRNA from 1 species